rnacentral:rRNA from 1 species
UACGUAAGGUGCGAGCGUUGUUCGGAAUUAUUGGGCGUAAAGGGCGUGUAGGCGGCACAUCAAGCCUGAUCUGAAAGGGUUCGGCUCAACCGAACGAUUGGGUGAGGAACUGAUGAGCUUGAGUUCACAGGGGGAAGCUGGAAUUCCUGGUGUAGGGGUGAAAUCUGUAGAUAUCAGGAAGAACACCGGUAGCGAAGGCGAGCUUCUACUGAUGGACUGACGCUGAGGCGCGAAAGCGUGGGGAGCGAACAGGAUUAGAUACCCGCGUA